CGAACACCCACAAGCCCCCCUCUGAUGCCACCCGCGGCUCCUCCGCACCCAGCCAUGCAUUUUUCAAAAUUAUUUUUUAAAAAUAAUAUUUUAUCAUUAUUUUAAAAAUAAUAUUUUUUUUCAAAAUAAUUUAUUAUUUUUUGUAAAAAAUAAUGAAUAAUAAUAAAUAAAUAUUUCCCCUCUUUCGGUGCUGAAGAUGCGAUGGUCGGGGGGUCGGGGGCUGAGCGGUUAGGGGUUGUGACAUGCAGGG
rnacentral:lncRNA from 1 species